AUCGAACGCUGGCGGCAUGCCUAACACAUGCAAGUCGAACGGGAGGCGGACGGGUGAGUGAGGGCGGAGAACCUGCCCGAUGUAGGGGUAUAACUACUGGAAACGGUAGCUACUACCGCUAAACGUCGGUUCGGCUGUGGGGGGAGUAGCUAGUAGGUGGGGUAACGGCUCACGUAGGCGACGAUGCCUAGCUGGUCCGAGAGGCUGACCAGCCACACUGGAACUGAGACACGGCCCAGACUCCUACGUGAGGCAGCAGUAGGGAAUAUUGCACAAUGGGCGCAAGUCUGAUCGAGCCAUGCCGCGUGAAUGAAGAAGGCCUUCGGGUUGUAAAGUACUUUUAGCGAGGAGGCGGUACUCGAAGAAAAAGCAACGGCUAACUCCGUGCCAGCAGCCGCGGUAAUAC
rnacentral:rRNA from 1 species